rnacentral:rRNA from 1 species
UACAGAGGGUGCAAGCGUUUAAUCGGAAUUACUGGGCGUAAAGCGUGCGUAGUCGGUUAUUUAAGUCGGGUGUGAAAUCCCCGGGCUCAACCUGGGAACUGCAUCCGAGACUGCAUUGCUAGAGUAUGGGAGAGGGAAGCGGAAUUUCUGGUGUAGCAGUGAAAUGCGUAGAUAUCAGAAGGAACAUCAGUGGCGAAGGCGGCUUCCUGGACCAAUACUGACGAUCAGGUGCGAAAGCGUGGGGAGCAAACAGG